CCUAUCUCAGUUCGGAUUGUAGGCUGCAACUCGCCUACAUGAAGCUGGAGUUGCUAGUAAUCGCGAAUCAGAAUGUCGCGGUGAAUACGUUCCCGGGCCUUGUACACACCGCCCGUCACACCAUGAGAGCUGGUAACACCCGAAGUCCGUGAGGUAACCGUAAGGAGCCAGCGGCCGAAGGUGGGAUUAGUGAUUGGGGUGAAGUCGUAACAAGGUAGCCGUAGGAGAACCUGCGGCUGGAUCACCUCCUUUCUAAGGAGA
rnacentral:rRNA from 1 species